GACGAACGCUGGCGGCGUGCUUAACACAUGCAAGUCGAACGGAAAGGCCCUGCUUUUGUGGGGUGCUCGAGUGGCGAACGGGUGAGUAACACGUGAGUAACCUGCCCUUGACUUUGGGAUAACUUCAGGAAACUGGGGCUAAUACCGGAUAGGAGCUCCUGCUGCAUGGUGGGGGUUGGAAAGUUUCGGCGGUUGGGGAUGGACUCGCGGCUUAUCAGCUUGUUGGUGGGGUAGUGGCUUACCAAGGCUUUGACGGGUAGCCGGCCUGAGAGGGUGACCGGCGUCAUUGGGACGUGCAGACGACGCUGCCUCGGAGGGGAGCGGGGAGGGGUAAGGAUGGAACGAGGGGCGGAUGCCGGUCGCAGACGCGCGGGGUGUGGGUUGCGGCCUUCUGGUUUGUCGCUCGUUUUCGGCGGGAACGAUGGGGGGUGGAAGGUGAGGGACAACGCGGCCCCGAAAAACUCCACCCCACCAGCCGCGGUAACAGUCAGAAGACACACCGUCUGACC
rnacentral:rRNA from 1 species